rnacentral:rRNA from 1 species
AACGUAGGAGGCAAGCGUUAUUCGGAUUUACUGGGCGUAAAGGGUGUGCAGGCGGUUCGGAAAGUUGGAUGUGAAAGCUCCUGGCUUAACUGGGAGAGGUCGUUCAAAACUUCCGGACUAGAGGAUGAGAGAGGAAAGCGGAAUUCCGAGUGUAGUGGUGAAAUGCGUAGAUAUUCGGAGGAACACCAGUGGCGAAAGCGGCUUUCUGGCUCAUUUCUGACGCUCAUACACGAAAGCUAGGGUAGCAAACGGG